rnacentral:rRNA from 1 species
UACGUAGGGUGCGAGCGUUGUCCGGAAUUAUUGGGCGUAAAGAGCUCGUAGGUGGCGGGUCACGUCGGGUGUGAAAGCCCGGGGCUUAACUCCGGGUCUGCAUUCGAUACGGGUCUGCUGGGGUCCGGCAGGGGAGACUGGAAUUCCUGGUGUAGCGGUGGAAUGCGCAGAUAUCAGGAGGAACACCGGUGGCGAAGGCGGGUCUCUGGGCAGUAACUGAUGCUGAGGAGCGAAAGCGUGGGGAGCGAACAGG